GACGAACGCUGGCGGCGUGCUUAACACAUGCAAGUCGAACGGAAAGGCCCUGCUUUUGUGGGGUGCUCGAGUGGCGAACGGGUGAGUAACACGUGAGUAACCUGCCCUUGACUUUGGGAUAACUUCAGGAAACUGGGGCUAAUACCGGAUAGGAGCUCCUGCUGCAUGGUGGGGGUUGGAAAGUUUCGGCGGUUGGGGAUGGACUCGCGGCUUAUCAGCUGGUUGGUGGGGUAGUGGCUUACCAAGGCUUUGACGGGUAGCCGGCCUGAGAGGGUGACCGGCCACAUUGGGCCUGCGAUACGGCGCAGUCUCCUACGGGAGGCAGCAGUCGGGAAUCUUGCACAACGGGCGGGAGUCUGAUGCAGCAGCGCCGCGUGCGUGAUGACGGCUUUCGGGUUGUAAACCGCUUUCGCCUGUGCCGAAGCGUGAGUGACGGUAACGGGUAAAGAAGCACCGGCUAACUACGUG
rnacentral:rRNA from 1 species